GGUCAAGUGGCCGAGUGGUCUUAAGGCGGCAGACUUGAAUAAAUAACAAUCCAUCUGCUGGGCUGUGCCCGCGCAGGUUCGAAUCCUGUCUUGACCG
rfam:Rhodotorula sp. JG-1b unplaced genomic scaffold RHOSPscaffold_37, whole genome shotgun sequence.